CAAUUUCAAAUGAUUUUUUAACAAGUCUUGAUUUUCUAAGAACAAUUCAAAUUGAGGUGUGUUCUGACGACUCAUUCAUUCACAUAAAAACAGUCCUUUUUACUUUUAAGGAUAAUACUUUUUUGAGACAUUUCUGACCCGGCCAAAAUUCCCCAAGCACUUCCUAAUUGUUUGUGCAGUUCAAGUCUGCAGACAUUUGUGCAUCUCCCAUCAGAACAGGAUCUGCACACACGUGUUCAUAUUUUCCGUAUGUUGCCCACAUCGCAGUCAUUGUUGUUUUCGUACUAAUAGCAACUUUGGAAAUGUGUGCGUUUCUAGCAAAUGGCAGACUUUGCAGUGCCUCCGUUUUUCGACUACCUUGAGCAGCAGUUUGAGAGACUUUGCAGGGGAAAUGCCGUGCAGUAAGGCGUAGGGGAUUGUCCGCAGUAGGGCGACCCCCAGUGGAUGGGCGCCGAGGGGUGUGGUGCUCCUCCAGCAGCUCUCAUGAGGAUCUCUCUGUACUUUUGGUGGUCCACCUUCCCUGUGGCCGACAUAGUUGCUGUAUGGACA